CGCGUAAGUAACCUAUCUCCGAGUGGGGAAUAACCCCGAGAAAUUGGGGCUAAUACCGCAUAAUGCGCUGAGGUCAUUAUCUUGGCGUCAAAGCCGCAAGGCGCUUGGGGUUGGGCUUGCGCCCUAUCAGGUAGUUGGUAGGGUAAUGGCCUACCAAGCCGAUGACGGGUAGCUGGUCUGAGAGGAUAUCCAGCCACACUGGGACUGAGAUACGGCCCAGACUCCUACGGGAGGCAGCAGCAAGGAAUUUUGCGCAAUGGGCGAAAGCCUGACGCAGCAACGCCGCGUGGGUGAAGAAGG
rnacentral:rRNA from 1 species